GACGAACGCUGGCGGCGUGCCUAAUACAUGCAAGUAGAACGCUUAAGAGAGGAGCUUACUCUUCUUGGAUGAGUUGCGAACGGGUGAGUAACGCGUAGGUAACCUGCCUUGUAGCGGUGGAUAACUAUUUGAAACGAUAGCUAAUACCGCAUAACAAUGGAUGACACAUGUCAUUUAUUUGAAAGGGGCAAUUGCUCCACUACAAGAUGGACCUGCGUUGUAUUAGCUAGUAGGUGAGGUAAUGGCUCACCUAGGCGACGAUACAUAGCCGACCUGGGAGGGUGAUCGGCAACACUGGGACUGAGACACGGCCCAGACUCCUACGGGAGGCAGCAGUAGGGAAUCUGCGGCAAUGGGGGCAACCCUGACCGAGCAACGCCGCGUGAGUGAAGAAGGUUUUCGGAUCGUAAAGCUCUGUUGUAAGUCAAGAACGGGUGUGAGAGUGGAAAGUUCACACUGUGACGGUAGCUUACCAGAAAGGGACGGCUAACUACGUG
rnacentral:rRNA from 1 species